GCCAGGAAGAGGAAGAAAGAGAAUACCUAAGAGCGGUGGGAAUGGGAACAUGGAGGAAAGCAUGAAAACUAUUGGAUACAGACAUUUGUCUCAGUGUUUUCCUGAUGCCUCCCAUUCCUACAGUUCUUAGGUGCUCCUUCCUCUUCCUUUGGCCU
rnacentral:pre_miRNA from 2 species